GAGUAGUAAACACACACUAACCCCUGAAUCCUCACCACCCGGGCCUUGCUAUCCGCACCUGUGCAGGUGGCCGAAGUGAGGCGCAGAGUAGAUCAGCAGACCACACCCGCGGUGGGAUCCAGGAUCAGCACACUUUACAAACAGCAGGCACACGCCCACUCCCGUGGCAAAGCCCGAGGAACCAAGGGGAGUUGACUUUGGAGACAGAUUUGCAAGAGACACCAAGGCAGCAAUGGAAGAAUCCACCUGAGAAAAACCUUCAUGGUUUCACACGUUCUGCCAGGGGAGGAGGAUGAGGAGAGCUGCAGAGAAGCCCUCCGUUAACCAGGUCUUCUCUGCAGCAGCCCUGUUCUAAGUGUUUAAUUGCGAGGAUUCAAUGCAGUGACCCACAAAUAGGAGUGAGACAGCACCCAGCGAGUUGAAAGCCCUCGGUUAACAUCAUUCAGUCCAGUGUAUGGGAACAGAUGGGACCAAUGGAGCUGAGAUUUGAACACAGGCCCUUCAGACACCAAGACAGACCGUGAGCAGGGGAGGGGCGGAGAGAGAGGAAGACAGAAUCCGAAGCAGGC